rnacentral:lncRNA from 1 species
UUUUUUAUUGAAAACCACCCGGAGGUGGGGGGUUAGGCGGGACCCCUACCAGUAGAUAAAACAAAAAACAAAUUACAAAUACUGGAGGGGGACAUGAACCAAACCUCCAGAGAAAAAUGAAAACAUCAAACAGACAAAAAGAAAAGUACAAUGAAAAUAUAAAAUCAAUAUCGGCGGCGUCUUCGGUUCAUCUUGAAGCCCUUCCGAGGAGUGACUUCAGUAAAACCCUCCGUAGAAGUGACAAUUCUUUGCCCACCCAAUUUCGCGAUGACUGUCUCUUCCAUAAUCUCUGAGUCUGAAAUGCCUAUACGGACAUCAACAGGAACGUCAUCACUGGAGUUGCUGUAAUCCUCGAUCCGAUGGCUCGUUCCAAUUCUAUCUUUUGAAGUGUUGGGUGCAGGAGAUACCUCAGGGACAUCAGUGGAUUCGGUAUUGAGAGUGCAUAUCGGCGCAGCAUCAUAUGGAGCAUAUGGGAGUGUCAAAACUUCUGUAGAAGUAAUGUCUGGAAAUGUAUCACAAGAACUGACCGUCUGCCAAGAUGAGCUGCGGUAAAAUCGCCCUUGAUGGCGAUAAGGAUCCCAAGCAGGCGUCGCACGAUAAAUGAGGUCACCGGCUGUCGUUCCCACACGAGCGGCAUGAUCACCACUCAACGGCAGAAGAGCUGCAAGAGGUGUAGGAGUAAUGGCCGUAGAAUCAGCACUAGUAACAGCAGGAACGAGGUCACUGCACAUGGGCUCAGGAGAGGCACACACAACUGAAGGCAGAGUGACUGUGCUCGGGGGAGGGAUCUCAGCAACAGCAGGAAGAUCAGCAAUGAUAACUGGUGUUGCUUCAGUAGUAGUAACUUCAUUUGGUGCUUCACUGGUUUCUGCACCGGUGGUAGGAACAUUUUGAACAAUCGGAGUAACAACUGUUGCCGCUUCUGUUGUUGCUGCAUUCUGGUUUCUGUUAUCGGCUUUCGGAACGUACUGAGUCUUCAUAGGUUCCUUUGACUUGUUACCCUCUCCAUCCGGAACAACAUUUUGCCGAACUGGGCCGGAACGGUCUGAUUUCCGCAACUCGGGUUUGUUGAUGUAGCAGGUGUCAUCAGAGUGGCCCACAUGCUUGCAGGCAGCACAAUACCGAGGCACUUUUUCGAAGAUGAUAUACUGCCAAAACCCAGUGUCUUUUUCCCCAAUCCAUAACCUCUUCAAUAAAGGCCUAGAAAUGUCAUACUCAAUGAGGACUCUGGCAACAGUAGGCCUACUGACCGAGGCGGUGGCAUGAUCGAUCCGAAGAGGUUUCCCGAUGGCAGCAGCAAUGGAAUACAGAGCCUCUUUGCAUCUCAUGUAGUGGACCGGUAAAAACGGCAAGGAGACCCAUAUCGGAACAAUCGGCGACUCUUCCGAACAAUGAAAAGUUGUGGACCAUUUGAAGACCCUCAUAGCUCGGCCAUCAAUAAACCAGGACUGGCGGAGCCAGAUUCUCGUAUAGUCCUCUUCCAGGUGCAGUUGGAUAAGGAUGUGUCGAGGAUCCAAUAAUGAAAUUUCAACAUUUCCUUUCAAGCCAAGAGCCACAAAAAAUUUACGGAUAACAUCAAUAGGGGGGCGGCCGAAAGAAAACUUACCCACUAAAGCGAGCUUGAAUGGUGCGGCCAUGAUGUUAAUUUCUUCCUCGGUGAAAAAAAUGGCCGGCUCACCUCUAUGGGUGGAAGAUUGCCUGAAGGCAAUGGCUGGAGCAGCUCUUUGAGACCCAGCAGCGGCAUCCACAAACGAUUUACAGGGCCGAGCAGUGGGCGAUUUUGCCGCCAUUUGAGCAAACGAUGGAAGCGGCGGAAACUCCAAUGAAGUAGCCGGAUGGCUACCGGCCAUGGCCAGAGAAGCCAUUCGGGCCGAGCUGCGCGACGGGAGACCCCGGGAGAAAAAUGCUCAAAAUCCCAAGUUCUGUGAAUAGUACCCUGAAAUCACUGUAGCAAACAGGUACUGUAGCGAUCACGGGUACUGUAGCAACGGGUACUGUAGAGAUCAAUGGCACUGUAGCAAUGAUGAACAAAAUACUGUAGCAAGAAGAACAGCACUGUAGCAGGAAUAGUAAAUCCGAAAUUCAAAUUAUCGUGUAGGCUUCAAAUCACCUCCAAAAUGCUCAUAUAAGGUAUGGAAACGUAGAUCGGUGAGAGGGGAACAAUUCUGAGGGGGAGGUGAGAGUUCACUCGCCGGAAAUUUGACCGGAUCUAGGAUUUAGAUAUCGGCACUAUUCAUUGAAUAGUAAACCGAAACUUCAAAGCUUGAUCGGGUAUUCAAAUCAACUCCAAAAUCCCCAAUAAACACACGGAAAUGUAGAUCAAUGAAGGAUGAAUAUGUUUAAGAGGGAGGUGUGAGCUUACUUGCCGGAAAAUGUGGUCGGAAAACCGAAACUAGCAUUCGGGUACUGUAGCACGCAUAGUAUUCCGACUUCACUUCAAUCUUUCAAGCUCCAAACGUGCACCAAAAUUUCCAAGCAACAUAUCAAAUCGAAGGGAAUUCAAAGGACGACGUGCUGGAAGUGGAGGUGUAUAUUCACUCGCCGGAAAAAUGGCCGGAAAGUGGAAUUAAAGGCUCGGCAUCACAGUAGCGGUUGAGAGAAAAUUGUCACUGUAGCAAAACGCUACUGUAGCAGAUUAGGGAAUAAUGGGGUUGGUUGGUUUAGGGUUUAGGGUUUAGGGUUUAGGGUUUAGGGUUUAGGGUUUAGGGUUUUAGGGUUUAGGGUUUAGGGUUUAGGGUUUAGGGUUGGGUUAGGCGGGACCCCUACCAGUAGAUAAAACAAAAAACAAAUUACAAAUACUGGAGGGGGACAUGAACCAAACCUCCAAAGAAAAAUGAAAACAACAAACAGACAAAAAGAAAAGUACAAUGAAAAUAUAAAAUCAAUAUCGGCGGCGUCUUCGGUUCAUCUUGAAGCCCUUCCGAGGAGUGACUUCAGUAAAACCCUCCGUAGAAGUGACAAUUCUUUGCCCACCCAAUUUCGCGAUGACGGUCUCUUCCAUAAUCUCUGAGUCUGAAAUGCCUAUACGGACAUCAACAGGACCGUCAUCACUGGAGUUGCUGUAAUCCUCGAUCCGAUGGCUCGUUCCAAUUCUAUCUUUUGAAGUGUUGGGUGCAGGAGAUACCUCAGGGACAUCAGUGGAUUCGGUAUUGAGAGUGCAUAUCGGCGCAGCAUCAUAUGGAGCAUAUGGGAGUGUCAAAACUUCUGUAGAAGUAAUGUCUGGAAAUGUAUCACAAGAACUGACCGUCUGCCAAGAUGAGCUGCGGUAAAAUCGCCCUUGAUGGCGAUAAGGAUCCCAAGCAGGCGUCGCACGAUAAAUGAGGUCACCGGCUGUCGUUCCCACACGAGCGGCAUGAUCACCACUCAACGGCAGAAGAGCUGCAAGAGGUGUAGGAGUAAUGGCCGUAGAAUCAGCACUAGUAACAGCAGGAACGAGGUCACUGCACAUGGGCUCAGGAGAGGCACACACAACUGAAGGCAGAGUGACUGUGCUCGGGGGAGGGAUCUCAGCAACAGCAGGAAGAUCAGCAAUGAUAACUGGUGUUGCUUCACUAGUAGUAACUUCAUUUGGUGCUUCACUGGUUUCUGCACCGGUGGUAGGAACAUUUUGAACAAUCGGAGUAACAACUGUUGCCGCUUCUGUUGUUGCUGCAUUCUGGUUUCUGUUAUCGGCUUUCGGAACGUACUGAGUCUUCAAAGGUUCCUUUGACUUGUUACCCUCUCCAUCCGGAACAACAUUUUGCCGAACUGGGCCGGAACGGUCUGAUUUCCGCAACUCGGGUUUGUUGAUGUAGCAGGUGUCAUCAGAGUGGCCCACAUGCUUGCAGGCAGCACAAUACCGAGGCACUUUUUCGAAGAUGAUAUACUGCCAAAACCCAGUGUCUUUUUCCCCAAUCCAUAACCUCUUCAAUAAAGGCCUAGAAAUGUCAUACUCAAUGAGGACUCUGGCAACAGUAGGCCUACUGACCGAGGCGGUGGCAUGAUCGAUCCGAAGAGGUUUCCCGAUGGCAGCAGCAAUGGAAUACAGAGCCUCUUUGCAUCUCAUGUAGUGGACCGGUAAAAACGGCAAGGAGACCCAUAUCGGAACAAUCGGCGACUCUUCCGAACAAUGAAAAGUUGUGGACCAUUUGAAGACCCUCAUAGCUCGGCCAUCAAUAAACCAGGACUGGCGGAGCCAGAUUCUCGUAUAGUCCUCUUCCAGGUGCAGUUGGAUAAGGAUGUGUCGAGGAUCCAAUAAUGAAAUUUCAACAUUUCCUUUCAAGCCAAGAGCCACAAAAAAUUUACGGAUAACAUCAAUAGGGGGGCGGCCGAAAGAAAACUUACCCACUAAAGCGAGCUUGAAUGGUGCGGCCAUGAUGUUAAUUUCUUCCUCGGUGAAAAAAAUGGCCGGCUCACCUCUAUGGGUGGAAGAUUGCCUGAAGGCAAUGGCUGGAGCAGCUCUUUGAGACCCAGCAGCGGCAUCCACAAACGAUUUACAGGGCCGAGCAGUGGGCGAUUUUGCCGCCAUUUGAGCAAACGAUGGAAGCGGCGGAAACUCCAAUGAAGUAGCCGGAUGGCUACCGGCCAUGGCCAGAGAAGCCAUUCGGGCCGAGCUGCGCGACGGGAGACCCCGGGAGAAAAAUGCUCAAAAUCCCAAGUUCUGUGAAUAGUACCCUGAAAACACUGUAGCAAACAGGUACUGUAGCGAUCACGGGUACUGUAGCAACCGGUACUGUAGAGAUCAAUGGCACUGUAGCAAUGAUGAACAAAAUACUGUAGCAAGAAGAACAGCACUGUAGCAGGAAUAGUAAAUCCGAAAUUCAAAUUAUCGUGUAGGCUUCAAAUCACCUCCAAAAUGCUCAUAUAAGGUAUGGAAACGUAGAUCGGUGAGAGGGGAACAAUUCUGAGGGGGAGGUGAGAGUUCACUCGCCGGAAAUUUGACCGGAUCUAGGAUUUAGAUAUCGGCACUAUUCAUUGAAUAGUAAACCGAAACUUCAAAGCUUGAUCGGGUAUUCAAAUCAACUCCAAAAUCCCCAAUAAACACACGGAAAUGUAGAUCAAUGAAGGAUGAAUAUGUUUAAGAGGGAGGUGUGAGCUUACUUGCCGGAAAAUGUGGUCGGAAAACCGAAACUAGCAUUCGGGUACUGUAGCACGCAUAGUAUUCCGACUUCACUUCAAUCGUUCAAGCUCCAAACGUGCACCAAAAUUUCCAAGCAACAUAUCAAAUCGAAGGGAAUUCAAAGGACGACGUGCUGGAAGUGGAGGUGUAGAUUCACUCGCCGGAAAAUUGGCCGGAAAGUGGAAUUAAAGGCUCGGCAUCACUGUAGCGGUUGAGAGAAAAUUGUCACUGUAGCAAAACGCUACUGUAGCAGAUUAGGGAAUAAUGGUUUGGGUUUAGGGUUUAGGGUUUAGGGUUUAGGGUUUAGGGUUUAGGGUUUAGGGUUUAGGGUUUAGGGUUUAGGGUUUAGGGUUUAGGGUUUAGGGUUUAGGGUUUAGGGUUUAGGGUUUAGGGUUUAGGGUUUAGGGUUUAGGGUUUAGGGUUUAGGGUUUAGGGUUUAGGGUUUAGGGUUUAGGGUUUAGGGUUUAGGGUUUAGGGUUUAGGGUUUAGGGUUUAGGGUUUAGGGUUUAAGUUCGUCCAGCGGAAAAAGGCCACAAAAACGGGUGGGCUAUAGCUUGGGGGGGUGGGGCUGACCAACUUCAUCCGCCGGACUCGGAAUGGCAUUUAGGGUUUAGGGUUUAGGGUUUUUAGGGUUUAGGGUUUAGGGUUUAGGGUUUAGGGUUUAGGGUUUAGGGUUUUUUUUUUUAUUGAAAACCACCCGGAGGUGGGGGGUUAGGCGGGACCCCUACCAGUAGAUAAAAAGAAAGUAAAGGAAAAUAAAAUACAAUACUGGAGGGGGGCAUAGACCAAACCUCCAGAGCAAACAGCAAACAUCAACAAGACAAGUACAAUGAAAAUAUAAAAUCAAUAGUGGCGGCGUCUGCGGUUCAUCUUGAAGCCUUUCCGAGGAGUGACUUCAGUAAAACCCUCCGUAGAAGUGACAAUUCUUUGCCCACCCAAUUUCGCGAUGACUGUCUCUUCCAUAAUCUCUGAGUCUGAAAUGCCUAUACGGACAUUAACAUGAACGUCAUCAUCACUCGAGCUGGUGUAAUCCUCGUACAGAUAACUCUUUCCAAUUCUAUCUUUUGAAGUGUCGGGUGCAGGAGAUACCUCAGGGACAUCAGUGGAUUCAGUAUUAAGAGUGCAUAUCGGCGUAGCAUCAUGUGGAGCACAUUGGAUUGCCAAGACAUCGGUAGACGGAAUGUCUGGAAAAGUAUCACAUGAACUGGCCGUCUGCCAGGAUGAGCUGCGGUAAAAUCGCCCUUGAUGGCGAUAAGGAUCCCAAGCAGGCGUCGCACGAUAAAUGAGGUCACCGGCUGUCGUUCCCACACGAGCGGCAUGAUCACCACUCAACGGCAGAAGAGCUGCAAGAGGUGUAGGAGUAAUGGCCGUAGAAUCAGCACUAGUAACAGCAGGAACGAGGUCACUGCACAUGGGCUCAGGAGAGGCACACACAACUGAAGGCAGAGUGACUGUGCUCGGGGGAGGGAUCUCAGCAACAGCAGGAAGAUCAGCAAUGAUAACUGGUGUUGCUUCAGUAGUAGUAACUUCAUUUGGUGCUUCACUGGUUUCUGCACCGGUGGUAGGAACAUUUUGAACAAUCGGAGUAACAACUGUUGCCGCUUCUGUUGUUGCUGCAUUCUGGUUUCUGUUAUCGGCUUUCGGAACGUACUGAGUCUUCAUAGGUUCCUUUGACUUGUUACCCUCUCCAUCCGGAACAACAUUUUGCCGAACUGGGCCGGAACGGUCUGAUUUCCGCAACUCGGGUUUGUUGAUGUAGCAGGUGUCAUCAGAGUGGCCCACAUGCUUGCAGGCAGCACAAUACCGAGGCACUUUUUCGAAGAUGAUAUACUGCCAAAACCCAGUGUCUUUUUCCCCAAUCCAUAACCUCUUCAAUAAAGGCCUAGAAAUGUCAUACUCAAUGAGGACUCUGGCAACAGUAGGCCUACUGACCGAGGCGGUGGCAUGAUCGAUCCGAAGAGGUUUCCCGAUGGCAGCAGCAAUGGAAUACAGAGCCUCUUUGCAUCUCAUGUAGUGGACCGGUAAAAACGGCAAGGAGACCCAUAUCGGAACAAUCGGCGACUCUUCCGAACAAUGAAAAGUUGUGGACCAUUUGAAGACCCUCAUAGCUCGGCCAUCAAUAAACCAGGACUGGCGGAGCCAGAUUCUCGUAUAGUCCUCUUCCAGGUGCAGUUGGAUAAGGAUGUGUCGAGGAUCCAAUAAUGAAAUUUCAACAUUUCCUUUCAAGCCAAGAGCCACAAAAAAUUUACGGAUAACAUCAAUAGGGGGGCGGCCGAAAGAAAACUUACCCACUAAAGCGAGCUUGAAUGGUGCGGCCAUGAUGUUAAUUUCUUCCUCGGUGAAAAAAAUGGCCGGCUCACCUCUAUGGGUGGAAGAUUGCCUGAAGGCAAUGGCUGGAGCAGCUCUUUGAGACCCAGCAGCGGCAUCCACAAACGAUUUACAGGGCCGAGCAGUGGGCGAUUUUGCCGCCAUUUGAGCAAACGAUGGAAGCGGCGGAAACUCCAAUGAAGUAGCCGGAUGGCUACCGGCCAUGGCCAGAGAAGCCAUUCGGGCCGAGCUGCGCGACGGGAGACCCCGGGAGAAAAAUGCUCAAAAUCCCAAGUUCUGUGAAUAGUACCCUGAAAACACUGUAGCAAACAGGUACUGUAGCGAUCACGGGUACUGUAGCAACCGGUACUGUAGAGAUCAAUGGCACUGUAGCAAUGAUGAACAAAAUACUGUAGCAAGAAGAACAGCACUGUAGCAGGAAUAGUAAAUCCGAAAUUCAAAUUAUCGUGUAGGCUUCAAAUCACCUCCAAAAUGCUCAUAUAAGGUAUGGAAACGUAGAUCGGUGAGAGGGGAACAAUUCUGAGGGGGAGGUGAGAGUUCACUCGCCGGAAAUUUGACCGGAUCUAGGAUUUAGAUAUCGGCACUAUUCAUUGAAUAGUAAACCGAAACUUCAAAGCUUGAUCGGGUAUUCAAAUCAACUCCAAAAUCCCCAAUAAACACACGGAAAUGUAGAUCAAUGAAGGAUGAAUAUGUUUAAGAGGGAGGUGUGAGCUUACUUGCCGGAAAAUGUGGUCGGAAAACCGAAACUAGCAUUCGGGUACUGUAGCACGCAUAGUAUUCCGACUUCACUUCAAUCUUUCAAGCUCCAAACGUGCACCAAAAUUUCCAAGCAACAUAUCAAAUCGAAGGGAAUUCAAAGGACGACGUGCUGGAAGUGGAGGUGUAGAUUCACUCGCCGGAAAAUUGGCCGGAAAGUGGAAUUAAAGGCUCGGCAUCACAGUAGCGGUUGAGAGAAAAUUGUCACUGUAGCAAAACGCUACUGUAGCAGAUUAGGGAAUAAUGGUUGGUUUUGGUUUAGGGUUUAGGGUUUAGGGUUUAGGGUUUAGGGUUUAGGGUUU